rnacentral:rRNA from 1 species
AGUGAACGCUGGCGGCAGGCCUAACACAUGCAAGUCGAACGGCAGCACAGUAAGAGCUUGCUCUUACGGGUGGCGAGUGGCGGACGGGAGAGGAAUACAUCGGAAUCUACUUUUUCGUGGGGGAUAACGUAGGGAAACUUACGCUAAUACCGCAUACGACCUACGGGUGAAAGCAGGGGAUCUUCGGACCUUGCGCGAUUGAAUGAGCCGAUGUCGGAUUAGCUAGUUGGCGGGGUAAAGGCCCACCCAGGCGACGAUCCGUAGCUGGUCUGAGAGGAUGGUCAGCCACACUGGAACUGAGACACGGUCCAGACUCCUACGGGAGGCAGCAGUGGCGAAUAUUGGACAGUGGGCGCAAGCCUGAUCCAGCCAUACCGCGUGGGUGAAGAAGGCCUUCGGGUUGUAAAGCCCUUUUGUUGGGAAAGAACAGCAGCAGGUUAAUACCCCGCUGUUCUGACGGUACCCAAAGAAUAAGCACCGGCUAACUUCGUG